rnacentral:rRNA from 1 species
AUUGAACGCUGGCGGCAGGCUUAACACAUGCAAGUCGAGCGGAGAUGAGGUGCUUGCACCUUAUCUUAGCGGCGGACGGGUGAGUAAUGCUUAGGAAUCUGCCUAUUAGUGGGGGACAACAUUCCGAAAGGAAUGCUAAUACCGCAUACGUCCUACGGGAGAAAGUAGGGGAUCUUCGGACCUUGCGCUAAUAGAUGAGCCUAAGUCGGAUUAGCUAGUUGGUGGGGUAAAGGCCUACCAAGGCGACGAUCUGUAGCGGGUCUGAGAGGAUGAUCCGCCACACUGGGACUGAGACACGGCCCAGACUCCUACGGGAGGCAGCAGUGGGGAAUAUUGGACAAUGGGGGGAACCUUGAUCCAGCCAUGCCGCGUGUGUGAAGAAGGCCUUAUGGUUGUAAAGCACUUUAAGCGAGGAGGAGGCUACUGAGACUAAUACUCUUGGAUAGUGGACGUUACUCGCAGAAUAAGCACCGGCUAACUCUGUGCCAGCCGCCGCGGUAAGAC